rnacentral:ribozyme from 1 species
GCUGCUCGACGAUUGCAUACCUCUUCGUGGUGAGCAGUAGGCAACGUAAUGGUUAUUACGGCAGAAAUGCGUUG